GACAGAGGGUGCAAACGUUGUCCGGAAUUACUGGGCGUAAAGAGUUCGUAGGCGGUUUGUCGCGUCGUUUGUGAAAACCCGGGGCUCAACUUCGGGCUUGCAGGCGAUACGGGCAGACUUGAGUGUUUCAGGGGAGACUGGAAUUCCUGGUGUAGCGGUGAAAUGCGCAGAUAUCAGGAGGAACACCGGUGGCGAAGGCGGGACUCUGGGCCGAUGACUGACGUGGAGGAGCGAAAGCGUGGGGAGC
rnacentral:rRNA from 1 species